UACGGGGGGAGCAAGCGUUGUUCGGAUUUACUGGGCGUAAAGGGCGCGUAGGCGGCCUUCUAAGUCGAACGUGAAAUCCCCGGGCUCAACCCGGGAACUGCGUCCGAUACUGGAAGGCUUGAAUCCGGGAGAGGGAUGCGGAAUUCCAGGUGUAGCGGUGAAAUGCGCAGAUAUCAGGAAGAACACCCGUGGCGAAAGCGGCUCUCUGGAACGGUACUGACGCUGAGACGCGAAAGCGUGGGGAGCGAACAGG
rnacentral:rRNA from 1 species